AGAGUUUGAUCCUGGCUCAGGAUGAACGCUGGCGGCGUGCCUAAUACAUGCAAGUCGAACGCUUCACUUCGGUGAAGAGUGGCGAACGGGUGAGUAAUACAUAAGUAACCUGGCAUCUACAGGGGGAUAACUGAUGGAAACGUCAGCUAAGACCGCAUAGGUGUAGAGAUCGCAUGAACUCUAUAUGAAAAGUGCUACGGGACUGGUAGAUGAUGGACUUAUGGCGCAUUAGCUAGUUGGUAGGGUAACGGCCUACCAAGGCGACGAUGCGUAGCCGACCUGAGAGGGUGACCGGCCACACUGGGACUGAGACACGGCCCAGACUCCUACGGGAGGCAGCAGUAGGGAAUUUUCGGCAAUGGGGGAAACCCUGACCGAGCAACGCCGCGUGAAGGAAGAAGUAAUUCGUUAUGUAAACUUCUGUCAUAGAGGAAGAACGGUGGAUAUAGGGAAUGAUAUCCAAGUGACGGUACUCUAUAAGAAAGCCACGGCUAACUACGUGCCAGCAGCCGCGGUAAUACGUAGGUGGCGAGCGUUAUCCGGAAUUAUUGGGCGUAAAGAGGGAGCAGGCGGCACUAAGGGUCUGUGGUGAAAGAUCGAAGCUUAACUUCGGUAAGCCAUGGAAACCGUAGAGCUAGAGUGUGUGAGAGGAUCGUGGAAUUCCAUGUGUAGCGGUGAAAUGCGUAGAUAUAUGGAGGAACACCAGUGGCGAAGGCGACGAUCUGGCGCAUAACUGACGCUCAGUCCCGAAAGCGUGGGGAGCAAAUAGGAUUAGAUACCCUAGUAGUCCACGCCGUAAACG
rnacentral:rRNA from 1 species